rnacentral:rRNA from 1 species
AAACCAACAGGGAUUGCCUCAGUAACGGCGAGUGAAGCGGCAAGAGCUCAAAUUUGAAAUCUGGUAGUUUUACUGCCCGAGUUGUAAUUUGAAGAGUCCAACCUUGGGUUGCAGCACUGUCUAUGUUUCUUGGAACAGGACGUCACAGAGGGUGAGAAUCCCGUGAGGUGGUGCGUUUGCUUCUCUUGUAGGUUGUUCUCGACGAGUCGAGUUGUUUGGGAAUGCAGCUCUAAGUGGGUGGUAAAUUCCAUCUAAAGCUAAAUAUUGGCGAGAGACCGAUAGCGAACAAGUACAGUGAUGGAAAGAUGAAAAGAACUUUGAAAAGAGAGUGAAAAAGUACGUGAAAUUGUUGAAAGGGAAGGGCAUUAGAUUAGACUUGGCGCUUCAGGCACAUCCUCCUCUUGUAGGGGGUGCACUCCUGUUGUGCUGGGCCAGCAUCGAUUUGUGCGGUGGGAUAAAACCUUUGGGAUGUAGCUACACUUGUGUAGUAUUAUAAACAGAGGGCAUGCCACCAGCGUAGAUCGAGGACUGCGUCUUUUGACUAGGAUGCUGGCGUAAUGAUCUAAUGCCGCCC